ACCUGGAUUAGUCACAUGACAUCCCCAAAGCUCCCACAAAAUUAUUCGAAAAUUACUGCAUAGAAGUGCCUGGUGUCCGCUCCUUGGUAUUGUUUUUGAGAUACGCUGAGCGCUCCGCAGUAUUCAAAUUAAGACAACCCACCCCCUAUACCUGGAAGGUUUGCGCAGUCUCACGACGGAGGUGCAAUACAAUUGCAAGUUACAGAAAAGAUCAGGAGUUAGUACGAGGUGGUUGAUGUUUAGAAAGCAAUGGAAUUUCAGACACAGCGUCAAGGUUCUGAAAAUGCAGAAGUUCCAGAAAUUUAUGUUGGAAACCUUCCCACAGACAUAUCUGAGGUGGAAAUAAUAACAAUCUUUUCAAAGUUUUCUGCUCAGAAAGUACGAAAGUUUCACUUUGGUGCAAAGUGACGUUUAUCUUCAACCUGAGAAAUUUCAGUAUUGCUGGGAUUUCCUGUUGCAGUGGAGCCAACCCAACACAGGCAUAGUACCAACAGAAUAGCUUCCAGACCUUUCUGUUUUUAAAAGACAGGAGCACUUUUUCGAAGCUAUAAGCUCAGGACAUGAAAACAAGGCAGACACAGAGGUAUUUGUUUGACAUGGAUGUGGCAACAGGUAUCCCAAUGCAUUUCUCUUCUAACCAUAAUACUGGCGAAUAUACAGCUUUUAUGCAACAAAUUUGAUGAACUACAAGCUAAUGGUCAUUUUUAAUAGAAAUUUCAGAGAAGUUUUCAGUAUGACUUUGUCUGAGAUGUGGCUCUCUGAGCUCAUAAUUGAUGGCUUUGGCAUAUAAG